CUUCCGAUGGCGACCGGCGCACGGGUGAGUAACACGUAUCCAACCUGCCGAUAACUCGGGGAUAGCCUUUCGAAAGAAAGAUUAAUAUCCGAUAGGAUCUCAAGGUCGCAUGAUCUUGAUAUUAAAGAAUUUCGGUUAUCGAUGGGGAUGCGUUCCAUUAGUUAGUUGGCGGGGUAACGGCCCACCAAGACGACGAUGGAUAGGGGUUCUGAGAGGAAGGUCCCCCACAUUGGAACUGAGACACGGUCCAAACUCCUACGGAAGGCAGCAG
rnacentral:rRNA from 1 species